UACGUAGGGUGCGAGCGUUAAUCGGAAUUACUGGGCGUAAAGCGUGCGCAGGCGGUCCGUUGUGUCCGAUGUGAAAGCCCCGGGCUUAACCUGGGAAUGGCAUGGGAAACUGGCGGGCUGGAGUGUGGCAGAGGGGGGUGGAAUUCCGCGUGUAGCAGUGAAAUGCGUAGAGAUGCGGAGGAACACCGAUGGCGAAGGCAGCCCCCUGGGCCAACACUGACGCUCAGGCACGAAAGCGUGGGGAUCAAACAGGAUUAGAAACCCCCGUAGUCC
rnacentral:rRNA from 1 species